UUGAGAAGGCAUGAUGGUGGCGCCGAGCGACGCCGUGGCGUGUUCGUUCUCGGCAUGUUCGUUCUCCGGCUCGCGCGGACCGUGCGUUGUUCGACGUUGCUUAUGUGAUCGUGCUUGCGUUGCUUGUGUGUUGGUGGUAGGUUCUGUGUUACUUGGCGGAAAGCCGCGAGUAGUGGUGGUGCGGCAGUGCGACUUUCGCCUCGGUGAGCUCUGGCAGUACAGAAUCUGCGUUGUGACCCGUGCUUCUAGCGCCUCGGCAGCGAUGUUCUGCGAACCGCGAUGUGGCGUCGCCGUGUCCGACUUUGCUUAACGGACAUUGAGGGAUGUGCUGCUCGCUACAAGUCAUGUAAAUGCGACUGCGUCGAUCGCCCAUGCACUGUUCAGCGCUGAUUGUGUACACAAUUAAGUGUGCUGUGCUUGAAACGAGUGGUGCAGCCGUGCAGCGGGGGGUGGUGGAGGAGCAGAGUGGCUUAGGGGUCUCCAUUUGCACGUUCACAGAGAUGUGCUCCCGUUUUGGUCUCAUUAGCGGCUGUCGCGGGAUUGUGGUGUGCUCCUUGCCUAGUAUGAAGUUUACGAUGCUAACACACAGCAUGUUCGCGUUUUUCCGUGCUAUGUGUCAUUUGCAUGAUGACCGAGUUGAAAACAAGGCAUAUGUCUGUGUUGUUUGCAUUUGUGUGUUGUAAAUUACUUCCUAUUGUGGAAGUUCUGGCAGUCUUAAACAUAAACGUAAACAUAUAAACAUAUUUCUGUGUGUCUGAAAUUUUGAAUUUCCCAUAAUAGCCUUUACGACUGAUAAGCGGGCUACACAGCCUGUGUGAAUCAGCUACCUUUUGUUGCGACCCUCUUCCAUGUGGUAGACUGAUGCAUGGUGCGCGUUUAUUUCUGUACUGUUGUAAAAACCAUUUGUUUAUUCACCCAUGGAGUACAAAUGUACUGCUUCUUCGCCGCAGUACAUUUUAGUUGCGCGCUGAAGGAUACUAAAAGUGGGAGGGGACCGCUAUCACCCAGCAUAGUAUGUCCACUCAGGCGACCUGAGAGGCGGCGGUUGCGCGAGUGUAUAAUUAAAGAACUCUUUUUAUGUCCAGUGACAAUGGCCCCUUUCCCCUUUAGUAUGCUUCACCGCAGUACAUAGGAGUAUUGCGAAAAAGGUAAUCUUAAAAAGCUCAAUUAUGCAACGUUUCUUUCGUAGCUUGCUACACCGCAAUACAGGGGUGUAGCAUCGUGCAGUAAAGCAUAAUAAGAGUGGAAAGGGCACAUAGGUUUACUCAUUAUUUUCAAUUGUGAUAUAAUUUGCAAGUGCAUCUGUGCUCUUGGUAAGCUUUAUUGACAAUUCUUUGUACAUUACAAAUUCAUAUUGCCAGGAAGCUUACUAAGGCACAUUCGCCAUAUUGUAAUGCAUUAUUCACCUUCAAUGCAGGAGCACAAUGCGGAUUCAUGCCUAUGCUUCUGGCUGGACUGCACGUGCUCUUUGAGAACUGAUUCGUUGAUAAGUGCACUGGUACUUACUCUAAACUGGAGGGCUGAAGUUGAUACGGAAGCACAAGAUGUUGCCAAGGUGGUUGUAGCACAGUUUUUUUUUCUUCGAGGUACCUUUUCUACUAGAAGCUUCCAUUGCAGUGUUUCGAGCCUCUUUGAGCCAGCACAUAGUCUAUAUAAACAUCGGACACCGAUUGGGAACAUCACCUAUGCUCUCUGCAGUAAUCUGCGCACAGGAUAAGUUCAUGCCUAUCUAUAGAAAAAAAUGUAGCAUGACCAGACUAAAAGGGGGUGGGCUGCAGCAAUACUAAGUGUUAAAUGUUGCCUUAUCCUUUCUGUUGAGUUUUCUAUUUUGUGCUUUUUAUUAUGGAUCCUCCACAAUAACCAUUAGAGUGCCGAACGUGAGCUUGUUGGUCUCAGAUCUCAUGGUUGUUACUAACAAAACAGUGUGAUAAACAAACAAGGGCUUGGAGGCAUCCUGUCACCUUGCUUAUCUCAUGGUGUUGCUUCAUGAGCACCGUAGGCCUCCAGACCAACUAGGAAGGGAAAUUUGUUGCAAUCACUUCAGAACUGUAUUGCAACCAAACGAACAGUGCUCUCAAUGACAACAUUUGGACAGUAGAGUGCUUGCACCCAGCAAAGUCUAAGAAGGAAGCAUUCAGGAUGUGCAAGUGGGCCUUUUGAAGCUGGCAUCAUUGUUGAAGGGGCUUUGCCUGCUACCCUCUUUAUGGAUACACAAAGAUGAUUUCCUCUUUGAGAGGGAUUGUUUCAGAUGUCGUUACAUGGCAACAAUGCUGGGUGUAUAGUAGCAGAGAAGCUUGUCUUUGCCCACUGUCAAUAAUAUGUUCCUUUUCCAGUUCCUGUGGAAGUGCCUACUUUUUGUACACAAAGUGCUCUCCAUGCAUGCAUGCAUUUUUAGCUUGUAAAGAUGUCUAUUACCCUUUGCCUCAAGCUGGUCCUUGUUGAUGUCACCCAAGAAGGCAUUGUGGAGUAUGGCGAUGCGCACUUACAAAUCAGUGUUGAUGCCAGUGAAACCAGAUUAAUGGAGCUGCCAUUUAUUUCUGUCCACUCCAUCUUCAUCCAGUUACAAUGAGCAGUUCUUUGUCCAAACAGAAGGCAUAUGUAGUUGGUCAUGCAUAGCCUACGCACUAAGACUUGUUGGCGUGCCUGAGAACCUUAGCAGUGUCUAUAUGCAAAAACAUUCUGAUGUGUUGAUGA